UACGCUCUUUACACCGCAUGGUGCAGAGAGGAAAGAUUUAUCGGUGAAAGAUGGAUCCGCGUCUGAUUAGCCAGUUGGCGGGGUAACGGCCCACCAAAGCGACGAUCAGUAGCCGGCCUGAGAGGGCGGACGGCCACAUUGGGACUGAGACACGGCCCAGACUCCUACGGGAGGCAGCAGUGGGGGAUAUUGCACAAUGGGCGCAAGCCUGAUGCAGCGACGCCGCGUGAGUGAAGAAGUAUUUCGGUAUGUAAAGCUCUAUCAGCAGGGAAGAAAGGCCCUUUUAGGGAGAUGACGGUACCUGACUAAGAAGCCCCGGCUAACUACGUGCCAGCAGCCGCGGUAAUACGUAGGGGGCAAGCGUUAUCCGGAUUUACUGGGUGUAAAGGGAGCGCAGACGGAACUGCAAGUCUGAUGUGAAAGCCCGGGGCUCAACCGCGGGACUGCAUCGGAUACUGUAGAUCUGGAGUGCCGGAGGGGCAAGCGGAAUUCCUGGUGUAGCGGUGAAAUGCGUAGAUAUCAGGAGGAACACCGGCGGCGAAGGCGGCUUGCUGGACGGCAACUGACGUUGAGGCUCGAA
rnacentral:rRNA from 1 species